rnacentral:tRNA from 1 species
AUUAUUUAAAUAAGUUUAUUUUGAAAAUAAAUAGGAAGUGGUAAAGCACUUAAGUAAUU